AGCGAACGCUGGCGGCAGGCUUAACACAUGCAAGUCGAGCGGGCGUAGCAAUACGUCAGCGGCAGACGGGUGAGUAACGCGUGGGAACGUACCUUUUGGUUCGGAACAACCCAGGGAAACUUGGGCUAAUACCGGAUAAGCCCUUACGGGGAAAGAUUUAUCGCCGAAAGAUCGGCCCGCGUCUGAUUAGCUAGUUGGUGAGGUAACGGCUCACCAAGGCGACGAUCAGUAGCUGGUCUGAGAGGAUGAUCAGCCACAUUGGGACUGAGACACGGCCCAAACUCCUACGGGAGGCAGCAGUGGGGAAUAUUGGACAAUGGGCGCAAGCCUGAUCCAGCCAUGCCGCGUGAGUGAUGAAGGCCCUA
rnacentral:rRNA from 1 species